UACGAAGGGGGCUAGCGUUGCUCGGAAUCACUGGGCGUAAAGCGCACGUAGGCGGCUUUCUAAGUCAGGGGUGAAAUCCUGGAGCUCAACUCUAGAACUGCCUUUGAUACUGGGAAGCUCGAGUCCGGAAGAGGUGAGUGGAACUCCGAGUGUAGAGGUGAAAUUCGUAGAUAUUCGGAAGAACACCAGUGGCGAAGGCGGCUCACUGGUCCGGUACUGACGCUGAGGUGCGAAAGCGUGGGGAGCAAACAGG
rnacentral:rRNA from 1 species